rnacentral:rRNA from 1 species
UACGUAGGCAGCAAGCGUUGUUCGGAGUUACUGGACGUAAAGGGUGUGUAGGCGGUUCUUUAAGUUUGGUGUGAAAUCUCCCGGCUCAACCGGGAGGGUGCGCCGAAUACUGAGGGACUCGAGUGCGGGAGAGGAAAGUGGAAUUCCUGGUGUAGCGGUGAAAUGCGUAGAUAUCAGGAGGAACACCGGUGGUGUAGACGGCUUUCUGGACCGUAACUGACGCUGAGACACGAAAGCGUGGGUAGCAAACAGG